CCCAGCCACCCCGACCCCCAACCCAAGGGGUCCCCGACUCGCACUUCUGGCUCCCGAGGGGUGGGGCGGGGCCGCGCGGGACCUCGGCCCCGGAGUCCCCAUCCUGUCCUACUCCAGCCCAGACCUUCGCUGUCCACACCUCGUGCCAAGCGGGAGGGUCCCGACCUCAUUCCUGGACCUCCCCACCUGCCGCCCGAGGAGGAGAGAGGCAGGCCCCGCGGCGCUGGAAGACCAGGGAGGCUCAGCCUGCUGCUGGCUACAGAGGUCGGUCAAUGGAUGGUCACCAGCUCUCCAUGCUGUCGACAAGGAAACACACAGUCCUUCCCAAGAGAGUGAACAGAAACCUCUUCUGCCUCUGCAGCCCACCGGAGGGAUGAGACCAGCGGGUUCUGCCAGGCCCCAGCCUUCUUUCUACACCAGAAUAUUCUCCCUCUGAGGAACUAGGAGAGGGGCAGCCUUUCUCACCAGCCUGAGUCCUCAGGGUUGAGAGAAGGACUCUCGGAAUUCCUGUCCCAAGUUCACCAGCACAGUGGGGUGCAUGUCCCUCCUCAGGUCAUCUGUUGCCCUGGCCACUUUUGCUUGACACACAGGACUAGCUGUCCUCAAUUUCUGUAAGUACUCCAUGUCAGAGGAUUUCUUUGAGGUAUUUUCCCAAAUUAAUUUUUAACCAUUUUUUUUGUUGUGGUAAAAUAUACAUAAACAUUAAAUUAGCUGGGCGUGGCGGGGCACACCUGAGUGCGCUUGAGCGUUUUUUGUGGCUGAUUUAUUUCUCCUUGUAUGAAAUCCUCAA
rnacentral:lncRNA from 1 species